GACGAACGCUGGCGGCGUGCCUAAUACAUGCAAGUCGAGCGAUGAAGCUUGGAGCUUGCUCCACUUUGAAGAGCAGCGAACGGGUGAGUAACGCGUGGGGAAUCUGCCUUUGAGCGGGGGACAACAUUUGGAAACGAAUGCUAAUACCGCAUAAUAACUUUAACCAUAAGUUUUAAGUUUGAAAGAUGCAAUUGCAUCACUCAAUGAUGAUCCCGCGUAGUAUUAGCCUGGUGGUGAGGUAAAGGCUCACCAAGGCGAAGAAACCUAGGCGACCUGAGGGGGUGGACCGCCAAAACGGGAAUGGGACAACGCCCAAGCUUCCACGGGGAGGAGCAGGAGGGAAACUUCGGCAAUGGGGGAAAGUCUGGACGGACAACGCCGGGGGGGUGGAGAAGGUUUUCGGGUUGGAAAACUCCGUUUGUAGAGAAGAAAGAUGGUGGGAGGGGAAAGCGCAUCAAGUGACGGUAACUACCCAGAAAGCGACGGCUAACUACGUG
rnacentral:rRNA from 1 species